AAUCCAGAUCCCACGCCCAGAUGACCCCAGCAAUCAGAUCAAGAUCACUGGCACCAAAGAGGGCAUCGAGAAAGCUCGCCAUGAAGUCUUACUCAUCUCUGCCGAGCAGGACAAACGUGCUGUGGAGAGGCUAGAAGUAGAAAAGGCGUUCCACCCCUUCAUCGCUGGGCCGUAUAAUAGACUGGUUGGCGAGAUCAUGCAGGAGACAGGCACGCGCAUCAACAUCCCCCCACCCAGCGUGAACCGGACAGAGAUUGUCUUCACUGGAGAGAAGGAACAACUGGCUCAGGCUGUGGCUCGCAUCAAGAAGAUUUAUGAGGAGAAGAAAAAGAAGACUACAACUAUCGCAGUGGAAGUGAAGAAAUCCCAACACAAGUAUGUCAUCGGGCCCAAGGGCAAUUCAUUGCAGGAGAUCCUGGAGAGAACUGGAGUUUCCGUUGAGAUCCCACCCUCAGACAGCAUCUCUGAGACUGUAAUACUUCGAGGCGAGCCUGAAAAGUUAGGUCAGGCGUUGACUGAAGUCUAUGCCAAGGUAACUGCCUCUGAGCGUGAAGUGUGUCUCCUUUGAGUGGAGUCCG
rnacentral:sRNA from 1 species